GACGAACGCUGGCGGCGUGCUUAACACAUGCAAGUCGAACGGAGUGGCACACGGGUGAGUAACGCGUAAUCAACCUGCCCUUCAGAGGGGGACAAAAGUUGGACACGACUGCUAAUACCGCAUACUGAGGGAGGGGAUUUAGUCGGAUUAGCUAGUUGGUGGGGGAACGGCCCACCAAGGCGAUGAUCAGUAGCCGGUCUGAGAGGAUGAACGGCCACAUUGGGACUGAGACACGGCCCAGACUCCUACGGGAGGCAGCAGUGGGGAAUCUUCCGCAAUGGACGAAAGUCUGACGGAGCAACGCCGCGUGAGUGAUGACGGCCUUCGGGUUGUAAAGCUCUGUUAAUCGGGACGCGGUACCUGAAUAGAAAGCCACGGCUAACUACGUGCCAGCAGCCGCGGUAAUUC
rnacentral:rRNA from 1 species